rnacentral:rRNA from 1 species
AAUCAACGCUGGCGGCGUGCCUCAGACAUGCAAGUCGAACGAUUAAAGCUCUCUUCGGAGAGUGCAUAAAGUGGCGCACGGGUGAGUAACACGUAAGUAAUCUACCUUUGAGUGGGGAAUAACAGUCGGAAACGGCUGCUAAUACCGCAUAAUGCAGCGGCACCGCAAGGUGACAGUUGUUAAAGGAGCAAUCCGCUUAAAGAGGAGCUUGCGGCAGAUUAGCUAGUUGGUAAGGUAAUGGCUUACCAAGGCUACGAUCUGUAACCGGUCUAAGAGGACGGUCGGACACACUGACACUGAAUAACGGGUCAGACUCCUACGGGAGGCAGCAGUCGGGAAUUUUGGGCAAUGGGCGAAAGCCUGACCCAGCAACGCCGCGUGAAGGAUGAAGUAUUUCGGUAUGUAAACUUCGAAAGAAUAGGAAGAAUAAAUGACGGUACUAUUUAUAAGCUCCGGCUAACUACGUGCCAGCAGCCGCGGUAAGUGACGUCAGA